GGGCGCCCGGGCCGCCGCGUCACACACAGCUGAGCCCACAGAGGCCCGGCAAGCGGGCGCCCCGUGGCGGAGUGAGCGGAAGCUGCAGCCUGGGACCCGACGGAUCCAGAGGCCCUUAUCACUCCUCCAUAAGUGAAAUCAGACAAAGUGGAAAGAUGGAUUCCAGCUCAAUUCUGAAGAAAAUGAAUAACCUGAUUUAAGAUCCAGCCGCCAUCUUGACCAACAGGCAAAACACAUUUCCACACAUC